rnacentral:rRNA from 1 species
UUUCGUGGCAUGGGAUGGGGUCGCGUCCUAUCAGCUUGUUGGCGGGGUGAGGGCCCACCAAGGCGUUGACGGGUAGCCGGCCUGAGAGGGCGACCGGCCACAUUGGGACUGAGAUACGGCCCAGACUCCUACGGGAGGCAGCAGUGGGGAAUAUUGCACAAUGGGCGCAAGCCUGAUGCAGCGACGCCGCGUG